UUCUCGGUUCUACAUUUCUGGAGUGUUUGGACGUCUGGAAACGCUGUCGCUGCCAGGCUGCGAUGACAAACCCUAGCUACCGCCGGUGGCUUUCCCAUGGCGCCGAUUGGACCGGUUCUGUUUGUAGCCUCUGAAAUCGAGCUCUGCUAACUGGAUGACUCGAACCAAGCAUGCUUGCUGCUUCAAGGCUCUGCCGACGAGUUUUCCGUUGCAGAGGAUAUACAGGCGUCUUCAGUUCGAACCUUGGUAAUGGCAUUUAUGGACUCAGUUAUGGGAAUAAUCGCAUACUCAUCAGACAGUCGAGCCGAGUCUGUGUGAAGAAAAUGCGUGGUUUCUUCAUACAUUACCUAUAUACUAAUCACAUCACAUCCAUCCCAGUCAGAGCUUCAGGGAUCUGGCAAUUCUUUGGCAUUUUCAGUGAAUCCAUCGAAAAUUAUCGGACAGAGGCAACACAGGCAUCUUCUGAUGAUGGUGAAUUGACAGAUGAAGUCUUAAAUCAGAUUCUUUCUGCUAUAAAGAAUGAUCCAAUCUCUGGUAGAGAGAUUUCAGAUACUUCCAUUGCUAAGUUCUGCAGAGCUGGAAAUCUUUCAGCUGCUGCUAGGUUACUGCAGUCAUUACGUGAUAUACAGAUCUUCCUCAGCCCCAAUACAUAUAGUCUCCUUUUGGCGGCAGCAGGUGAAGGGAGCAACAUUGACCUUGCAUCUCAAGUAUUUAAGGAUUCACUAGUAUCUGGGGAAUCCUUGACUUCAUCUACUUAUCUCAACCUUGCCAAAGCUUUUACAAAGACAGACGAUUGUAUUCUUUUACUCAGAUUUGUCAGAGAUGUAUCAGACCUUACCUUUCCAAGAAGCACAAUUAUUGUGAACAGAAUCAUCUAUGCCUUUGCUAAAAGUGGGCAGAUUGACAAGGCUCUGCUCAUUUUUGAUCAUAUAAAGAGUCUAAAGUGUAAACCAGAUCUGAUCACUUAUAAUACAGUGUUAGGGAUCUGGGGUCAUGCAGGUCGGGUUGAUGAAAUGCUUGAUGAGUUUGCCUCCAUGAAACAUGCCAACAUAAUUCCAGAUAUAAUUACUUACAAUACCUUAAUAAAUUCCCUGCGGAAAUUGGGGAAAUUAGAUUUGUCUUUAGUGCUUUUUAAAGAAAUGGCUGAAUGUGGAAUUGAGCCAGAUUUGCGAACUUACACAGCACUGAUUGAUAACUUUGGUCGGGUAGGGAACAUUGAGGAAUCACUGAGACUCUUUGAUGAGAUGAAGCGGAGGCGGAUCCGCCCAUCAAUUUAUGUAUAUCGAUCACUCAUAAACAAUUCAAAGAAGGUUGGGAAAUUGCAGUUGGCAGCAACUCUUCUGAAUGAGAUGAAUUCAUGUCUAUCGGAUCUUGUAGGCCCAGCGGAUUUUAAACGGAAAUACUAAUACUUAAGCACUUCAAGCUUCCUGGAUUCAUGAUCAAUCUUAAUGUUGUAUAUACACAUGUUUUUAUUCCAGCUGGAAUAUGUGUGGUGACCCCUUCCAUCUAUUGCAUUUGAAAUGAUUCUGUAGUUUGUAAUUGGUGCGAUACUUGUCUGGCUAGCUCAUCCAUCCAAGCUCAGUUUGUAAAAUUUGAGUUGCUUUCAAUAGCAAUUGAGUGCUGCCAAACUGCCUAGAGAAGGAUCUCCUGCCGUGUAUAUUCUAAGGUUAAAGAGCAGAUUAGCAGAAGCAGCACAUUUAUAAGAGGACAGGGAUACUGAGGUUUUGCUUUUUAAAGAUAUAUUCUGGUGAUGAAUAUAUGAAGAUUUUAAUUCAAAAAGCCUCUUUUAUUGUGUUAUUUUAAGCUGUGUGGUGCUGGUAUCGUAUGCUUUAAUUGCUGGGGAAUGCUCAAAGCUGUUCACAGCUUGGUAGUUCCAAGUUUCCCACUUUGGAUGUGGCCUUCAAGGUUCGACACCAAAUUGUCAGGUAGGUUUUUCAUCUGAGAAUCCACGUUGGAAAAUGCUGCUUUGAACCACUCAAUAUCAAUGGACUGUCUCUCCUGAGAACUACUCAGCAAAUCAUCAAUACUUUUCAGCUGCUUCUUCUUCAAAUAGAUCUCCACUUGAGGAAAAGCUGAGUUGAAGUUGCCUGGAUGCUGUUUCAAGACUGGAUUUUAUGGAUUUUUAUUAAGCAUGUUGCUGUGUGCUAGUAGAAUGCGGAUCCCAGAUGGGUUGAAAUCACUCUUAAGAGAUUGAAUCAUCUCAGAAGGUGUAAAAAAAAGAAAACAACAUAAUUUGAUGAAAAUUUCUACUCUUGAACUACCAUGGUCUUGCUUACAUGUUCAAGAUAUGAUCGCCUGCUUCGAGGAGUGUUAUUUUAACCAGACCCCUAAGUAUUGGAUACAGCAGAGCCAAAUCUUCAUUAAUGAAGUCAUGAAGUUCUGCUGCAAACUCCACACCUGUUGGACCACCACCAACGAUGACAAAAUGCAGAAUCUUUUUCCUAUCUUCAUCACUCAGGUUAGGAAGACUUGCUCUUUCAAAACAAUCAAUUACAGUCCUGCGGAUCCUCUGAGCAUCUUCUAUUUCCUGCGCUAGAAUAUCAAAAUCCAUUGUUGGCAGCAUAACAGAGUUGGUGUAUGCAGAUAAGGAAGUGGGCAGAAACUUUCCUCAAGAAGGAAGCAUUACUACCAACAAAAGCUAGUGAUGAAAGCGUAACAGUGGGUUACCUUCAGGAAGUGGGCAUUCUCUACAACACCAGGGGUGUUAAACGUAUUUGCACGGGCUCCCAUGGCUAUCACCAGGUAAUCGUAGUCCACUGUAAAAUCUUGUUUCCCAUCCAAAUUUGAGGCUUGAUGGGAUUUACAAUAAACUUUCUUCUUUGCUGGAUCGAUCUUGUAACAUUCAGCUUCCGUAAACUCGAUGUCUAAACCUUUCUGCCAUAGAAAAGGAAGAAUAAAAUAGUCUC